rnacentral:rRNA from 1 species
AGAUUGAACGCUGGCGGCAUGCUUUACACAUGCAUGUCGAGCGGCAGCGCGGGGGCAACCCUGGCGGCGAGCGGCGAACGGGUGAGGAACACAUCGGAACGUGCCCCGGAGUGGGGGAUAACGCCGCGAAAGCGGCGCUAAUACCGCAUAUGCUCUGAGGAGGAAAGCGGGGGA